UCUGGUCCUGAGCUGGUGUCUGGCAGACUCUGCACCAGAUCAUUCCUGUUGAUCAUCUCUAAAACCUUCUUGGUCACCUUCAGAGCUCCGUGAAGUUGAUAGGUUUUCACCAUCUCAUCCACUGUGUCCUGCCUUUCUGCAUUCUCCAACUUGGACACUUUGAUGCUUUGGU